CCUACGGGAGGCUGCAGUGGGGAAUAUUGGACAAUGGGCGAAAGCCUGAUCCAGCCAUGCCGCGUGUGUGAAGAAGGCCUUCGGGUUGUAAAGCACUUUCAGUGGGGAAGAAAGCCUUGGGGCUAAUACCCUCGAGGAAGGACAUCACCCACAGAAGAAGCACCGGCUAACUCCGUGCCAGCAGCCGCGGUAAUACGGAGGGUGCGAGCGUUAAUCGGAAUUACUUGGCGUAAAGCGCGCGUAGGCGGUCUGAUAAGCCGGUUGUGAAAGCCCCGGGCUCAACCUGGGAACGGCAUCCGGAACUGUCAGGCUAGAGUGCAGGAGAGGAAGGUAGAAUUCCCGGUGUAGCGGUGAAAUGCGUAGAGAUCGGGAGGAAUACCAGUGGCGAAGGCGGCCUUCUGGACUGACACUGACGCUGAGGUGCGAAAGCGUGGGUAGCAAACAGGAUUAGAUACCCGGGUAGUC
rnacentral:rRNA from 1 species